rnacentral:rRNA from 1 species
UACAGAGGGUGCAAGCGUUGUUCGGAAUUAUUGGGCGUAAAGGGCGCGUAGGCGGUGCGGUAAGUCUGUAGUGAAAUCUCUGGGCUCAACUCAGAGUCUGCUGCAGAAACUGCCGUGCUCGAGUGCGGGAGAGGCGAGUGGAAUUACAGGUGUAGCGGUGAAAUGCGUAGAUAUCUGUAGGAACACCCGUGGCGAAGGCGGCUCGCUGGACCGCAACUGACGCUGAGGAACGAAAGCUAGGGGAGCAAACAGG